rnacentral:rRNA from 1 species
AUUGCACGCUGGCGGCAGGCCUAACACAUGCAAGUCGAACGAGUGGCGGACGGGUAAUUAAUGUCUGGGAAACUGCCCGAUUGUAGGGGCUAACUAAUGGAAACUGUCGCUAAUAACGCAUACACUCAGAUGUUCACAGAUGGGAUUAGCUUGUUUGUGGGGUAACGGCGCACCAAGGCGACGAUCACUAGCUGGUCUCAGAGGAAGACGAGCCAAACUCGAGACGAAACUCGGGCAAGACUGCUACGGGAGGAAGCAGUGGGGAAGAAUGCAAAAUGGGCGAAAGCCUGAUGCAACCAUGCCGCGUGUAGGAAGAAGGCCUUAGGGGUGUAAAGGACUUUCAGCGGGGAGGCGUUACCAGCAGAAGAAGCACCGGCUAACUCCGUGCGAGCAGGGGCGGUAAUAC